rnacentral:rRNA from 1 species
UUCCGGUUGAUCCUGCCGGACCUGACUGCUAUCGGAUUGAUACUAAGCCAUGCGAGUCAUUGUAGUAAUACAAGGCAGACGGCUCAGUAACGCGUAGUCAACCUAACCUAUGGACGGGAAUAACCUCGGGAAACUGAGUAUAAUGCCCGAUAGAACAUUAUGCCUGGAAUGGUUUAUGUUCCAAAUGAUUUAUCGCCGUAGGAUGGGACUGCGGCCUAUCAGUUUGUUGGUGAGGUAAUGGCCCACCAAGACUAUUACAGGUACGGGCUCUGAGAGGAGUGGCCCGGAGAUGGGCACUGAGAUAAGGGCCCAGGCCCUACGGGGCGCAGCAGUUGCGAAAACUCGCCAAUGCACGAAAGUGUGAGCGGGCUACCCCGAGUGCCGUCUGCUGAGGAUGGCUUUUCUUCGUCGUAGGAGACGAAGGAAUAAGGGGUGGGCAAGUUCUGGUGUCAGCCGCCGCGGUAAAACCAGCACCUCAAGUGGUAAGGAUGAUUAUUGGGCUUAAAGCAUCCGUAGCCGGCUCUGUAAGUUUUCGGUUAAAUCUUUACGCUUAACGUACAGGCUGCCGGGAAUACUGCUGGGCUAGGGAGUGGGAGAGGUAGACGGUACUCGGGAGGAAGGGGUAAAAUCCUUUAAUCUCACGAUGACCACCAGUGGCGAAGGCGAUCGGCUAGAACGCGCUCGACGGUGAUGGACGAAAGCUGGGGGAGCGAACCGGAUUAGAUACCCGGGUAGUCCCAGCCGUAAACUUUGCAGGGUUAGUGUUGAACAGGUUACAGAUCAAUUCAGUGCCGCAGGAAAGCCGUUAAACCCGCCGCCUGGAAGUACGUACGCAAGUAUGAAACUUAAAGGAAUUGGCGGGGGAGC